UACAGUGGUUUGUAUUGUGUGGAUUGCUUAUCUGGGGGACUACAUACAUGUGUGUAUAUUUAUGUAAGUGUUGAGUAGGUUUGUAUUGUAUUAUAUGUACUUAUAAGGUAAUGUCCAAGCUGGUGCUGUAUUAUACAGAUUGGGAAGGAUUGUGAUAUAAAUGUAGUUGGGACUGGAGUGACAAUGUGGCACUGUUAUUGUGAUUGCUACUGUAAUUAAUGUGAUAUAAGGGAAGGUAAUAUGAUAACAGAUGAACUGUAAUGGGUGGGCAAGAUAUUAAUUACAAAAUUUACACUAUAACACCAGGUCUUAGCACUGACUGUCUUCUAGAAGUUCAAAUGUUUGUGGACCACUGCAGUCCCAACAGUAACCCUAGAAAUAUAGUUGCUCUCGCUUCCACAUAGAAACAUAUUGUAACUGUUUUUACAGUCAGUCAUUGACUACAUGCCUUUUUUUUUCUCUCCUUUAAAUCACAGGAGUGGUGGAACAAAGCUUUCAGCAUUCUUGUUGAGCCUUCAAAACUCAGUGUAUAGAAAACUGCAGCCAGAGAAGACUGGUGUAAUACAUGGGCUAAAACUGUAAAAAUGUUAAAUGUUGUGUUAUGUGUUUGUACAAUAAUGGAACUUUAUUUAAUAACUGUAAUAGUUUUGCACAAACAUGGUUGCAAUUUAUUUGGGUGAGUGUUGAUUGUAUUAGGUGAAAGUAUAGAUUCGCUUAAGUGUCUAGUAUAGCAUGUUUUGUGUGCAUUCAAGUGUACUACUUUUAUUGUCUUUUGUAUGUUGUGUUUUUUUUUUUUUGUUUUGUUUACAGGUUUUUGUUCUGCCAGGUUAUUAUACUUACUAUACUAAGUGUUUUCAGGGGAAGUUUUUUCCCUGCUUCUGCUGGCAGAUGAGUGACUUUGCUGGUAUGCUUUAACCUUUAUCAAGUACAUGUAAAUGAGUCUAUCCCUAAUGUUUCCUUUAAGCCUUUUGUCUUUUGUUUUAUAGGGCUUUAUCUUGGGAAUAUUCUGGUUCUGUUGACUUCAGCCUUGGCAGGAUAUUUGGGAUUUAGUUUCUUUUAGUAUGUAUGAUCAUGUGGACCGAUUUAGCACAGUGUUUUCAUUCAACAUGUCUCUUCUUUGUUUUUCAGACUGGGUUCCAGUGUAGAAGAGUCUAGAAGCAGAUGCAGGUUGAUCCCUGGUUCAGGAAACCUCUAGAAACAGAUGUAGGCAACCUGGGACUGCUAGAGCAUGUGAUCAGCAUGUGAGUAGUGUAAUAUAUCUCCAUCUAUAAGAUUCUGGAGCCUGGUAUGUUUUUACAGGUUUUCCUGAUUUGGCGAAUGUUGCUCUGGUACUUCUGCCAUGGCAUGUCUCUUGGGAUCCUGUUUCUCUUGGCAAGUAUGAGUGGAUGGACACAUUUUCUGUUGUCACACAUUACCCCACGCAUAUUUGUAUAACAGGCUGGGCUUUGGUGUAAGACGUCUUGAUGCAGGUAGCUUUGGACUGCCAGAUUGGCAUGUAAUUACGGGAACACAGUGCCAUUUCUGGGGCUGUUGAGCAUGGGCAAGAAGCAGUCUUGUAAACAGACAUGCAUGGAUAAGGAACUGUUUAAGCAUCUAUUUAUUUUUACAGGUUUCCUGGUUUGGCAAAAAAAUGCUGUUACUUAUUAAUUGGUAGGUUACAUGGAAUCCUAGUGGAUGGAUUUUUUUUUAUAUUUUUUUUUUUUUUUUACAAUUUGGGUUUUUGCAUAUGAAAAGUCUAGAAGCAGAUAUGCAGGUAACUUUGGACUGCUGGAGCUUGUGAUCAGUAUGUGGGAAGAGAAAUAGGAGAAUAUGGUUAAACAUUUCUUCAGCCAUUUUGCUUUUUUUUGUUGGACCUUUGUUUGGGAAUAAUUCUGCCAUAGAGCAUCUUCAUGGGUGGUUGGUGAUUACAAUUAUUUUGACUAAUUUGAUUUUUUUUUUUUUUCACUGCCUAUCCUUACAGAUAAGUGGCUUUGCUGCUACAUGUGGUUAACAUUUAGGGUUGAUAGACCAAUUUUUAAAUAUGCUUAAUGAUUUCCUUCAACCUUGUUGUUUUUGUUUUACAGGAUGGACUUCACCAUGGGAAUAUGUUUUUUUUGACUACAGUCUUGCUCAAAGCAACUUACGACUAGCCAUAUACAUGUUUCUACUUACUUUGCAACAAAUUGGAUAUUUGUGGAGUGAUUGAGAUCAACCUGUCCAUCUUUGUUUUUCAGGUUUGUCCCUGGAAUAGAAAAUGUUUAGCAGCAGGUGAUGCAGGUAACCUUAGACUGCUGGAGCCUGUAAGUAAGGAAAAGGCUGAUGAAUCUCUCCUUAAUCCAUACAUACCUGAGCAUCUGUUUUUUACAGGGCUUCCUGGUUUGCAAAAUAUAUGGCCUCAGUGGUACCUCAGCCUUUGCAUGUUAUUUAGGAUCCUAUUUUUUAUUUGGUAGGUAUAAGUGUAUGGCCCAUUUUAUCAUGAGCUCAUUCUUCAGCUCUUUGUAUCUUUUGUUUACAGAUUGGGCUCUGAUUUGGAAAAUCUAGAAGCAGAUCCCUUGGAAUGCUGGAGCUUUUGACCAUCAUGUGAGUAGAGAAAAAGAUGUGCAUGGAUAAGGAGAGAUUGUUUAUCCCCGGUAUUUGUUUUUCAGGUUGUCCCAGUAUUAGAAAUCUAGCAGCAGAUAAAGGUAAUAAUGGACUACUGGUGUUCCGGAUCGGUAAGUAGAGGAAUAGAAACACAUUUUAAAGAGGUUCUUUAGCCUGGCCAUAUGUAACAUUUGUUUUUACAGGUUUCCCUGGUCAGGCAAUUAUUAUUGUGGUACUUGUGGAUCUACUUGGUAUCAUGGUUUUUUUUUGUUUAAGAGGGGGGAGUAUGUGUGGAUGGACAAUUUAACAAUGGCGUUUGUUUUUACAGGUUUUCUUGGCUUAACAAGUGUCUGCCUACUAUGGAGCCUUGGCAGGUUACUUGGGAUCCUGUUUCUUUUGGUAGGUAUAGGAGUGGGAAUUUGUGUUUGCUGUUAUUCUUCAGCCCAGGCAUCUUUGUUUUACAGGUUGGGCUUAGGUGUAGGAAGUCUAAAAGCAGAUGCAGAUAACCAUGGACUGCUGAACCUUGUAAUUGUUAUGUGAGUAGAGAAAGAGACUUGCAUGGGUACAGACCUUCUUUCAUGUCAGCGUCUAUUUGUUUUUGCAGGUUUGCCUGGUUUGACAACUACCACUGUUCUUCUGCCAUGAAAUAUUUGGGUUCCUGAUCCUUUUGAUAGGUAUGAAAUGUGCUUUCUAUGGUGUUUUUCAGCACGAGCAUUUGUUUUUCAGGUUGAGCUUCACUGAAAAAAGUCUAGAAGCAGGUGCAUUAAACAUUGGACCACUAGUGCUUCUGAUCAGCAUGUGAGUAGUGGUAUAGAUAUGACAGGCUGAAGAAUCUUGUCUGUUGAUGUUUGUUUUUACAGGUCUUCCUGGUUUGACAAAUUUCUGCCCACUGUGGUACUUCAGCCAUAUCAGGUUACUUGGGAUCCUAUUUCUUGUGGUAGGUAUAAAAUGGAUGGACACAUUUUAUAUUGGUGAUAUACAAUGUGAGCAUCUUUGUUUUACAAGUUAGGCCCAGUAUGGGAACUCUAGCAGCAAAUACAGAUAACCUUGGACUGCUAGAGCUUUGUUAUGUGAGUAUUAGAAUAAAUAUGUAUGGAUAAGAGGUUCUGAAGCCUAGUGUGUUUUACAGGUUUUCCCUGGCUUGUCUGUCCACUCUGGAGCCUUGGCAACUUGCUUGGGAUCCUGUUUCUUUAUGGUAGGUAUGAGUGAGUAAUUUUAUUUGCUGUUCUUUCUUCAACCCAGGCAUCUUUGAUUUUUACAGGUUGGACUUUGGUGUAGGGAGUCUAGAAGCUGUUGCAGGUAACCUUGGGUGCUUGUGAUUAUGUGAGUAGAGGAACAGACUUGCAUGGAUAAGGAUAGAUUAUUUUGUCUGAGCAUUUAUUUGUUUUUACAGGUUUCCAUCUGCUGCUGUGGUACUUCUGCUUUGGCAUAUUUGGAAUCCUUAUCCUUUUGGUGGGUAUGAGUGGAAGGACAAUUUUGCUAUGGUGUUAAUCUUAAACCCAAACAUCUUUGUUUUAACAGGUUGGCCUCCGGUGAAGAAAGUCUAGAAGCAGAUGCAGUUAACCUUGGACUGCUGAACCUUGUAAUUGUUAUGUGAGUAGAGACAGACUUGCAUGGGUACAGAGCUUCUUUCACAUGAACAUCCAUUUGCUUUUGCAGGUUUUCCUGGUUUGACAACUGCAACUGUUCUUCUUCUACCAUGGAAUAUUUGGGUUCCUGAUCCUUUUGAUAGGUAUGAGUGGAAGAACAAAUGUGGUAUCUAUGGUGUUUUUCAGGUUGAGCUCCACUGAAAAAAGUCUAGAAGCAGGUGCAGUAAACAUUGGACCACUAGUGCUUCUGAUCAGCAUGUGAGUAGUGGUAUAGAUAUGACAGGCUGAAGAAUCUGAUCUGUUGAUGUUUGUUUUUAAGGUCUUCCUGGUUUGACAAAUUUCUGACCACUGUGGUACUUCAGCGAUAUCCGCUUACUUGGGAUCCUAUUUCUUGAGGUAGGUAUAAAUGGAUGGACACAUUUAUUUUGGUGUUUUUUAAUCUGAGCAUCUUUGUUUUGCAGGUUAGGCCCAGUGUGGGAACUCUAGCUGCAAAUACAGAUAACCUUGGACUGCUAGAGCUUUGAUUGGUAUGUGAGUAUUGGAAUAAAUCUGCAUGGAUAAGAGGUUCUGAAGCCUAGUGUGUUUUACAGGUUUUCCCUGGCUUCUGUCCACUCUGGAGCCUUGGACAGUUACUUGGGAUUCUGUUUCUUUUUGGUAGGUAUGAGUGCGUAGUUUUAUUUGCGGUUCUUUCUGUUCAUUCUUCAACCCAGGCAUCUUUUGAUUUUUACAGGUUGGACUUUGGUUUAGGGAGUCUAGAAGCUGUUGCAGGUAUCCUUGGGAGCUUGUGAGUAGAGGAACAGAUUUGCAUGGAUAGGGAGAAAUUAUUUUGUCUGAGCAUUUAUUUGUUUUAAUCUGCUGCUGUGGUACUUCUGCUUUGGCAUAUUUGGAAUCCUUAUCCUUUUGGGUGAGUAUGAGUGGAAGGACAAUUUUGCUAUGGUGUUAAUCUUAAACCCAAACAUCUUUGUUUUAACAGGUUGGCCUCCGGUGAAGAAAGUGUAGAAGCAGAUGCAGUUAACCUUGUACUGCUGGACAUUGUGAUUGAUUGGCUUUCAGUUCAGGAAAGUCAAGCACCAGAUGCCGUACACUAUCGACUGCUGGAGCUUGUGACCAGCAUUUGAGUAAUGGUAUAGAUCUGCAUGAACAUGAUUCUUCAGAAUGGCAUGUUUCCAGUUUUCCUGGUUUGACAAAUUUCUGCAUGCUGUGGUACUUUGGCCUUGUCCGGUUACUUGGCAGCAGAUGCAUGUUACAUUUGACUUCUAAAGCUUGUGAUCAUUAGUAGAAUAGCCUGGCAUGUUUGUUUUUACAGGUUUCAUGGCUUAACAAAUGUCUGCCUGCCAGUGUCUGUAGAGGAACAAACACUUGCAUAUGUAUACAGAGAGCUUUCUUGUGAGCGUCCAUUUGUUUUUGCAGGUUUUCCUGGUUUGACAACUGCCACUGUUCUUCUACCAUGGAAUAUUUGGGUUCCUGAUCCUUUUGAUAGGUAUGAGUGAAAGAACAAAUGUGAUAUAUGGUGUUUUCAGCCAAGCAUUUGUUUUUCAGGUUGAGCUCCACUGAAAAGUCUAGAAGCAGAUGCAGUAAACACUCGACCGCUAGUGCUUGUGAUCAGCAUGUGAGUAGUGGUAUAGAUAUGACAGGCUGAAGAAUCUUAUCUGUUUGUUUGUUUUUACAGGUCUUCCUGGUUUGACAAAUUUCUGCCCACUGUGGUACUUUAGCCAUAUCAGCUUACUUGGGAUCCUAUUUCUUGUGGUUUUCCCUGGCUCGUCUGUCCACUCUGGAGCCUUGGCAAGUUAUUUGGGAUCCUGAUUCUUUUUGGAAGGUAUGAGUGAGCAGUUUUAUUCUCAUUCUUCAACCCAGGCAUCUUUGAUUUUUACAGGUUGGACUUUGGUGUAGGGAGUCUAGAAGCUGUUGCAGGUAACCUUGGACUGCUGAGUACGUGAGUAGAGGAACAGACUUGCAUGGGUACAGAGCUUCUUUCAUGUGUAUUUGCAGGUUUUACUGGUUUGACAGCUGCCACUGUUCUUCUGCCAUGGAAUAUUUGGGUUCCUGAUCCUUUUGCUAGGAAUGAGUGAAAGAACAAAUGUGGGAUCUAAGGUGUUUUUAGCCGAAGCAUUUGUUUUUUCUGAUAGAACUCCAUUGAAAAAAGUGUAGAAGCAGAUGCAGUUAACCUUGGACUGCUGGAGAUUGUGAUUGGUAUGUAAGUAGUGGUAUAGAUAUGUAUGCAUAUAUUUUGACCCCUGUGGAGCCUUUGCACCUUACUUGGGAUGCAGUUUUGGUAGGUAUCAGUAGAUGGACAAAUAUUUGCAGUUGUGAGUUUAUCCUGGGCAUCUUUGUUUUCAUGUUGGGUACGUAGAUGUACGUAAUCCUGGACUGCUGGAGCUUGUGAUCAGUAUGUGAGUAGAGGAACAGGCUGGCAUGCUUAAAGGACAUGUAAGGCCUAAAUUUGCCUACAAAAUGUAUCAGUUGGGCACGCCACCCCCACCCAAAUGGCAUCAUGUGUACUGCAUAUAUCCCCUCCGUUUGCCGGCACCA